UACGAAGGGGGCUAGCGUUGUUCGGAAUUACUGGGCGUAAAGGGCGCGCAGGCGGUCCGCCAAGUCAGAUGUGAAAGCCCCGGGCUCAACCUGGGAACUGCACUUGAGACUGGCGGACUUGAGUUCGGGAGAGGAGAGCGGAAUUCCCAGUGUAGAGGUGAAAUUCGUAGAUAUUGGGAAGAACACCGGUGGCGAAGGCGGCUCUCUGGACCGAUACUGACGCUGAGGCGCGAAAGCGUGGGGAGCAAACAGG
rnacentral:rRNA from 1 species